CAGCCAUGUGCUCUCUAGAAGUUAAUUCUUCUCAGACUCAUGAUGGCAGAGAACUAGUUUUUUAAAUUCCAAUCUGUUGUGGACUUAGUUUACAGUUCUACUCUGGAUGACUAGUGUGUAAACUCACACCACAUAUGACUCACCCUCAUAUGUAAGUAGGUAAGACUUACUGUUUUAUUUUCCCACAAGCCAACCAGACACCUCCUUCACCUGGUUCACUUUGAGUCUUCCAGCAGCCCAGGGCUUGGAACAGUGCCGCCUCCUCCUCCCUUCCCCACUUUUUCUCCAAUCCUCCUGUCUACAGGCUAGGUCUGACACCAGAGCUACAGAGCCGGGUAACCAAGGUAACCAAAAGCCCUGGAGUCCAGGGGGCCUCCCUAAGGACCGCCCAAAUGCCACAGGCUCCAUGCAGUCAGGUGGAGCAGCUCUCCCUGCUGUGUCCUCUCUCCCCCGACAUUGC
rnacentral:lncRNA from 1 species